CAAGAAUGUAGCCACAAGGAAGUGAAGAUUGAUUUGAGCAUCUGAUGGGGUGCUAUGGUAUGAAUCAGAUUGUGAGCGGCUUGGGGACAGGACUACAAACAUUUAGACAAAGUGCUGUAAACUGCUCUAAACCUACUGGAUUGAGUGGGAUAUGAAACAAGCAAGCAAAUAACCAAAUAAAUAUAUACAUAGAAGCAGAGGAAGCCUAUUUAUCACCACUCCAACCGGUACAGAACUCUAAAUUUCAUACCUGCCAAGGAGACCAAGAAGAUGAG